rnacentral:lncRNA from 1 species
GUCAGUGUAACCUUCAUUGAAAUUUUGGAAAUAAGAUUGCCUUAGUUGGGCAUUGUUGGGCAUGUGUGUUGGGCACACUGGGCUGCUCCUGUAAUUCCUGCACUUGGGAGGUAGAUGUAGAAACAUUUUGAGUUUCAGAGCAUCCUAGGCAACACAGUAAGACUCUCUAGAUAAAACCCUGCAGGGAUGAGCUUUCUAAAGAAUGAAAAGAAUAAACUACAGUGUUUUUUGCAUUGCUUCAGGUGUUAUGCAGAGGUAGUAAGUAAUCGAAUGGACCUGAGCAGUGAGUAACACCUUUCCUCCAGAUAAACUAUAAAUUGCUACAUUUUUAACAGAGACAACUUAGACCUGAUGUUGAUCUCUGCGAAAUGCUGCUCACUCGUCUUUCCUUCUUUAAAUGUGGAGAUUCAUUCCCAAAGCAUGCCUUUCAUUCUGUGUUACCCUUUCCACUCUGUGCUGUCUCUAACCAAGUGGUUAUUAUUUUCAGAACUAUACUCAUUUUUUCCCUUCUUGUGCCUAAUUGAUCUAAUGGUGUAAUUUUUCUCUCUCCUGGAAACUUGUGUUAACUACCACUAAACCAAAUUUCAGCUUCUUCCCUAGGUCGUCUGGACUUCCAUCUCCAUGACUGUAGUUGCCUCCUGCCUGUUCUUCUCUGUUAUUUCUUUGCCUUCUGUCCAUACACAUGAUAUUGGAAUCUUUAAGGACCUGGCUUCUAGCUUUCCACUCUUUUUCAUUCCACUAAUCAUGUGCUUCCAGUCAGCCAUUCCCUCUAUUUCCUGAACAUUCUAUUUCCUUUUCCACAAUCCUCAUAUUAGCUAGCUUGCUUGUUUGCUUCCUUCCUUCCUUCCUUCCUUCCUUCCUUCCUUCCUUCCUUCCUUCCUUCCUCCCUUCCUUCCCCCCUCUCUCUCUUUCUCUCUCUUUCUUUCUUUCUUUCUUUCUUUCUUUCUUUCUUUCUUUCUUUCUUCCUUUCUUUCCAUGUUUUUCACUCUCUUUUUAUGGAAGUAAAGCCAAUUUUUAUCACUUUGUUCAAAGUCUGCUUUCCAUAAAGCUUACCACCUGGCCUGAUUCAUUAUCACUCUGUGUCAUAACAUGAUAAUUUUUCUUUAUAAGAAGCUUUGCAAAAUUUUAUAUUCACUUAGUAUUUUUUAUUCUUGAAUAAUUGUUUAUGCAGCUUUACAUUUCAUACAGUUUUCACAGUUUCUUGUUGGCGUAUAGAAUGUACUACAUACGACUUUAAAUGUCUCCAGUGGUGGCAAGUCAUUGUCUUCCAGUUAGACCUGAUUUUUAGAGACAGUGUUCUUUGUGGUGUCAGAAACAAAGUAUUUAAGAAUCCAGAGUGUCCUGUCAUAUGAUAUGGACAAAGCUCUCCAAAUAGAAGAAAUUAGAUAAAUCUAUCAUGACAGGGGAAAGUGUAAGGACAUAAUGAUAAAAGAAUCCAGUCCCUCAGAUGAGACGAAGAAAACAGGUCUGCAAAGACCAUUAUUAGUAAUUGCUGUGGCAGGCAGGAAGGAAAUAAAAUCAGACAGGUAGUUUAGUUAGAAUAACUGUCAACAAAGCUAAGAAACACAUGAGACAAAGAAAAGUCUGACUUCUGGUAAUAAGUUUAAAGAAGCUCAAAUUUUACAGGAAAGUGAAAUCACAAAAACACUAGAAAGGAUGAAUGGUAAAUUGCAAUCCGUGGAGCAGGUGAAUAAAUAGACAGAAAGAAUCUGGACAGAAUACAGCAAUGAAAUAAGCAUGAGGUUCAGUUGGGGGCUGACAAAGCUUACCUGCAUCAAAACGAAAAAAAAUAUCCUCCCAUUUUUAUAAGUAGAAGAAAUGAAUGGAAAUUUUACAGACAUAGAGAUAACCAGAGCAAUAUUUGUAAUGAUUAAACAGGUAAGAAUUGAAUGAAAUUAUUGCUAACUAACUGAAAACCUGAGAAGACCGGUGGAGAGAUGGCUUGGCACUUCAGCUCUUACGUCUGCUGAAGACUUAAUAUUUAGGACUGGCUGCCCUGUCAGAGGUCUGGGGUCCAAUUCCAAGCACCCGCAUGGCGGUACACAGUCAGCAGCAGCUCUACUUCUGGAAGAUCCUGUGCUGCCUCUGGCCUUCAUGGUCACCAAGCAUGAAUGUGGUGUGCAGACAUACAUGCAGGCAAAACAUGCAUACACUUGUAAAAAGAUAGGUAUUUCUUAGGUGAGUCAAAUAAUGUAGAUAACUCUAUUUAAUCUUUAGGAAGAAUGAUUUGAAGAAGUUACAAUAUUUCUGAGUCUUAUAAUGCACCUUUCAGUAUAGCAAUAGCAGCAACAAUGUGUAGUUUUCAGAAUAAAAGCAAAUGAUUGAAAGCAUGGAUGGGAGGGGCUGAAAUGUAAAUGAAGUAAAUACCUAAUAAAAAGUUGG